GCCCACAUAGCUCAGUGGUAGAGCACGCCCUUGGUAAGGGCGGGGUCGCCAGUUCAAAUCUGGCUGUGGGCU
rnacentral:tRNA from 1 species